rnacentral:lncRNA from 1 species
CUGUCUGUAAUAUCCUGUUUGCUUUUCAGCUCCUAAGAAGAACAGUUAGUUUUCUGAGGAGCCAGCUGAGGAGGAAACACAAGCAGUGAAUAAAGGCAACUGAGAACUGUGCAGAGCCCCUGCCAGGUGAGUUUGCUGCAGACCUGCCACCCAUGAACUUGUCCCUCAACUAAAAACAACAGCAAAUUCCAUUCUGGGGUUGCAUUGGAAUGUGCAGGAAGACCAUGGGAGGCCACUGGGAAGAGUCCUCUGGCAUUUGACAAGGGCUGUGUACCCCUCCCACCCCCCAGCUCAGCUGCUAUCUCUGCAGAGGCAGCAGGGAGGUGAAGUGUGCUCCCUCCUCCUGUUCUCAGUGGUCUCCUGACUUAUUCCUAUACCUGCCCUCAACACAGUCAUGAGAACCUGCAUUUUCUCUCAUUUUCCUGGAGGCCUUACCUUAUUCCCUGCUUAUGUUCUUCUGAGGACAUCUCAUGAUCAGAUAAAGGUUGAUUAUUUUGUUCAGUAUCUGUUUCCCCACAGGAACAGAGAUCCUUGAGACAGCAAUUUGCAUUCACUUAGUAAGUUCCUUGAUAAUGGAUCUCUAGAACAGUAUCCAGCAUGUGGCAAGUACUCAAAAAAUAUUACUUGACUUAAUGAGAGAAGAAAUUCUUUUGUAAUGCUUAAUAAUAUUUCUAACCACAGUUCACCUCUACCAUUUCUCAUUCUGCCUCCACUUGCCCCAAAAUGUUAAUAUUUUCAGGGCUCUGACAUCAGUGCUUUUCUUUCCUCAAUCUCUUCUGAAAAAUUUCAAGCAAUGCUUCUAGUACUCUCUCCACAUUUUUAAAAUUGAUGCAUUAUAGAUGUACAUAAUGAUAGUAUUUAUUGUUAAAUAUUUGUACAUGCACACAAUAUAAUAAUAUAUUUGGGUCAAUUUAACUCCGGAGCACUCUUCUUGACCUACUCAGUUUGACUUAUUUUGCGUAACAUAAUGGUCUCAUGUUCUAUUCAUUUUUCUGCAAAUGACAUUCAUUUUUAUGGCUAAAUACACCUCCAUUGUGCACAUUUAUCACACUCCCUUUAUUCAUUCAUUUGUUGAUAGAUAUCCAGGCUAGUUCCCUAGUUUGACUAUUGUGAACUGUGCAGCUAUCAAUAUGGUUAUGGGUGUAUCAUUAUAGCAUGUUAACUUUAAUUCUUCGGGGUAAAUAUUGAGAAGUGGUAUAGCUGGCUCAUAGAGUGGUUCCACAUCUAGUCUUUUGAGGAAACUCAAUACUGAUUUACAAAGUGAUUGUACUAAUUUACAAUCCCACCAACAGUGUAAAGGUGUUCCUUGCUUUCCCCACUCUCUUCAGUCUUUAUUAGCAUUUGUGUUCUUGAUUUCUGACUGGUACGAGAAUAAAUUUCAGUGUAGCUUUGAUUUGCAUUUCCAUAAUUGAAAAUCUUGUUGACCAUGUUCUCAUGUAUUUGUUGGCCAUUUGUAUUUCUUCUUUUUAGAAGUGUCUAUGUGGUUCAUUUAGCCAUGUAUCAAUUGUUUUUUAGUUUAUAUAUUCUGGAUGUUAAUCUUCUGUUGGAAGCUUAGCGAGGAAAGAUUUUUUUCCUAUUCUGUAGGUUCUUUCUUCACAUUCUUAAUUAUUUCCUUUUAUGAUCAGAAGAUUUUAAAUUUGUUGUCAUCCCAUUAAUUAACUCUUGGCCUUGUUUCCUGAGCUUUAGGGGGAUCUAUUGAGGAAAUCAUUGCUUAUGCCUGUAUGCUGAUGUUUGACCCUAUGUUUUCUUAUAGGCGUUACAUCGGUUUUGAUCCAAU